CUACUACUAUGUCUCUUGAUCCUUUCUUCAGCACUCUGUAUCGCUGUGUGGCGAGUGCUCUGUAAAAAUUAAUUUAAUUUGAUUUGAACUGAGCUGAGCUGAAGUGGCACUGUGGCGUGGUGGGUUUGAGCAGUGCCCGCUGUGUGGUGGGUCUAGGGUUCGAUGCCUGCUUGGUUGCCUUCCGACAAACCGGUGUCCACCCAGGGUGCGUCCUGUCCUCUCCCCCUUCGGCCUUGCGCUCCGCGUUGCCUGGUUAGGCUCCAGUUUGCCGUGACCCUGCUUUGGGACAAGUGAUUGUAAAGGUUGGCUGAACUGAAUUGAAAUAGAGCAGGAGCUCUCUGUUUCUAACAUGUCCCUCUUUUGUUUUUUUAUUGUUAUAAGCUGGUGCUGCUCACCUGUGUUUAUGGCAGUGAGAAAACCAGAGCCACUACACAAGCAGAUGCAAAAGUCCCCCAAGGGCACCGGUGCCAUGUCCAGCGACAGCCAGGAGCUCAGCAGCAGUGGCAAAGGGUCAGAGCUGCACAAGCAGAGGGCAAAACGCCACAGACGGGGAAAGAGCGCGAGGAGCUCAGACGCUGGCGAGGAGCGGAUGUCGACUGGAGCGGAGCAACCGGCCCCUGAUCGGUCCUCGCAUCAACUCGGAGAAAAAGCUGAGGCUCCCGCUGUGGAUCUGCGAAGCGCUCAUCAGAAGAAGUCCAGGAGCCCAAAGACGCACUUGGCCAUGCAGAAGGAGAAGGGGGAGAUGGAGAACGGCCAAAAUUGGGUUAGUCUGACUGGCAUCUCCGAUGGACGAAGUGCAGAAAAACAAAGCUGUUUUCAUGCAAGUGGUGAGUAUGGAAGUGCACCAUGUUUUUACAGC
rnacentral:lncRNA from 1 species